rnacentral:snoRNA from 1 species
AAACCAUGAUGAGGACACAUUCUUAAAAGAUCCUUAAAUCUCUUUCAGGCAUCAUAUAAUGUCUCCAAAUCAAUUUGAGCAAAAGAAGAGAUGUCAUUCCUCAACUU